UUUGUCUCAAAUCUCUUACCUUUAUUCUGAAAACUUACAUACCAUGUGAUCUAACCGAACAGCCCAACUCUCUCGUGUUGCAUCAUAAGCCAAGUUGCAGCCUUGUUUUUAGGCGAGAAAAACAGAGCACGGUUGUGCUCUCAACUUGCUUUACAUCAGGGGUCUAGAGACGCCACCGCAUCCUCACAUCAUCUCCACCGCGUCUAUUUCACUCAAUGCCAUGCCAGCAUCUGUCUGUCUUAGUGUUUUCCAGCUCGCUGUCGCACGCCACCCUCAAAGCCAGUUUGACAACACCGAGAAACAGCGGCAACAGCAAGCAACGUGGAGGAGACACUCGGAGAGGAUGACCAUGGGAGGAUCGUGGAAAUUGAGUGAGGGGUUGAUAUGUGAUGAAGUGCUCUAUUGUGGUUGCAAAAGAGGUUGACUCAUGCAGAUAGUGCCUAUUUUCGUGUGUUUGGGAGGUUGGAACUUCGGUGUUGCGCGUUGAUGGUGAUGGGUGAUCUUUCGAUUUUGGUAGAAAAAGAAACAGGGGAAGUGAAUAUGGAGUGUGAGAGAGAUCAAAAGUAAGUACUGUGAGGUUACGUCAAAUCGUCCAAGAAAAUAUGGAUGAAAACUUCAAAACAUGUUUUAGCCAACAACGUGGAGAAAAAAAAAAAUAAAGAAUGCCAAUGCGGAGAACCCACGUCAAACGGAAAGGAAAAAGGGGAUCGUAUGGUGGGAUCCCUAGCAUUUUCUAUCUACAAAUAAAGACUAGUAAGCUUUUUUUUCCCGAGAAAAUGAUUAACCUACCAUUCUUCUGUAAUCAUUAUGAGGAUUUGGUGGCUCUAAACCUGGCAUGAUCUUGGAUUCUGCGUGGGAGGAUCUACGAGUUGUAAGUAAUUAAGCUCGAUCAGUAAUAAUUAAUUAAUUUCCCAUAAAACAAACACAAUUAAUUCGCUGGAAAAAAUCAGAUUUUUUUGCCAUAGAAAAUUGACAAGUUGGCAAUGAUCUUCACUGUUGUGCGGGAUUCUA